UACGGAGGGUGCGAGCGUUGUCCGGAAUCACUGGGCGUAAAGGGCGCGUAGGCGGCCUGAUAAGUAGGGGGUGAAAUCCUGCGGCUUAACCGCAGGGCUGCCUUCUAAACUGUCAGGCUUGAGCACAGUAGAGGCAGGUGGAAUUCCGGGUGUAGCGGAUGAAAUGCGUAGAUAUCCGGAGGAACACCGGUGACGAAGGCGGCUUCCUGGACCGACACUGGACGCUGAGGCGCGAAAGCUAGGGGAGCAAACGGG
rnacentral:rRNA from 1 species